GACGAACGCUGGCGGCGUGCUUAACACAUGCAAGUCGAACGAGUGGCGAACGGGUGAGUAACACGUGGGUGAUCUGCCUUGCACUCUGGGAUAAGCUUGGGAAACUGGGUCUAAUACCGGAUAUUGCAAGAUGAGCUCGCGGCGUAUCAGCUUGUUGGUGGGGUAAUGGCUACCAAGGCGCGACGGGUAGCCGGCCGGAGAGGGUGUACGGCCACCUUGGGACUGAGACACGGCCCAGACGCCUACGGGAGGCAGCAGUGGGGAAUAUUGAACAAUGGGCGGAAGCCGGAUGCAGCGACGCCGCGUGGGGGAUGACGGCCUUCGGGUUGUAAAGCACUUUUGGCAGGAAGACGGUACCUGCAGAAUAAGCACCGGCUAACUACGUGCCAGCAGCCGCGGUAAUUC
rnacentral:rRNA from 1 species